rnacentral:rRNA from 1 species
CCUACGGGUGGCUGCAGUGGGGAAUAUUGGACAAUGGGCGAAAGCCUGAUCCAGCCAUGCCGCGUGUGUGAAGAAGACCUUCGGGUUGUAAAGCACUUUCAGUGGGGAAGAAAGCCUUGGGGCUAAUACCCUCGAGGAAGGACAUCACCCACAGAAGAAGCACCGGCUAACUCCGUGCCAGCAGCCGCGGUAAUACGGAGGGUGCGAGCGUUAAUCGGAAUUACUGGGCGUAAAGCGCGCGUAGGCGGUCUGAUAAGCCGGUUGUGAAAGCCCCGGGCUCAACCUGGGAACGGCAUCCGGAACUGUCAGGCUAGAGUGCAGGAGAGGAAGGUAGAAUUCCCGGUGUAGCGGUGAAAUGCGUAGAGAUCGGGAGGAAUACCAGUGGCGAAGGCGGCCUUCUGGACUGACACUGACGCUGAGGUGCGAAAGCGUGGGUAGCAAACAGGAUUAGAUACCCGAGUAGUC